rnacentral:sRNA from 1 species
GCUUUGGAUAUCACAGUGCACGAUGCUCU